rnacentral:lncRNA from 1 species
ACUCAGACGCCUAUGAAGCUGCCCUAAUGCACAAGAGAUACAAGUAUCAAAUCCUAUAUAUGCAUAUUUAAAUUUUGAUGGUGUGAAGCUAUUACAACACUAGUAAAACCCACUAGAUUAUAUAUCCUGAUAGCAUAAUACAAUAAUUUACAUAGCAUAGUGGAACGAAUGUAUACACCAUAACUAGUUUAUAAUCUACGAAAUAAUAUCUACCGUAGAUUUCCUGCACAUACAUUUUCCUGCUACAUUAUUACACUGUCCAUAUCCUUCUUUCUAUCUUUUUUAAAUGGUGUCAUAUUAUUUUCUGAAAUACUUUUUUUUUAUAAAAUAGGGACCAGGAUCAAAUCUUGUUGAUCCUCUUCUUACGUUGACAGC